AAAUGGACAGAAGAGAAUGAGAUACCGUAUAUACUCGCAUGUAAGUCGACUUUUUCAGCACAUUUUUUGUGCUGAAAAAGCCCCCCUCGACUUAUACGUGAGUGAGGAUUU